rnacentral:lncRNA from 1 species
UCCAUAAUUCCAAACCGUCAAAAAUCUUCUUCACUUUCACUUGCCCUCUUUUCCAAAACUCUAACUCACAAAUUCUCUCAAGAAACCAAUGGUCAUGACCAACCCACAAGACAAUCAUGGAAGUCCUCCACCACCCACUCCCUUAAAUUCAUCCACACCUCCUCCACCCAGUACAUCUCAUAACCCUAGACUGAGAAGGGUAAAAAUGCUUGCUCAAAAGACAGUAGCGUGUGGGGCUCUGAUGAAGUAAUUAAAUGAGAAUUGGAAGGCAACCGAGGACCAAAACUUUGACUCCAGCUCUGAUUCUGAACCAUGUCAAUCCACUACUGAGGGGGAAGGACCUGGAUCUUCUGAUUCUGAAAAGACUCAAGAACCUCCUUCCAAGAAACUAGGUUUGUUCUUGUUGGAUCUGUUAAUAAUGGUGAAUUGCCAG